AGAUUAAGUUAUUAAGGGCGCACGGUGGAUGCCUUGGCACUAGAAGCCGAAGAAGGACGUUACUAACGACGAUAUGCUUUGGGUAGCUGUAAGUAAGCGUUGAUCCAGAGAUUUCCGAAUGGGGGAACCCAACAUGAGUUAUGUCAUGUUAUCGACAUGUGAAUUCAUAGCAUGUCAGAAGGCAGACCCGGAGAACUGAAACAUCUUAGUACCCGGAGGAAGAGAAAGAAAAAUCGAUUCCCUGAGUAGCGGCGAGCGAAACGGGAAGAGCCCAAACCAACAAGCUUGCUUGUUGGGGUUGUAGGACACUCUAUACGGAGUUACAAAAGAACAUGUUAGACGAAUCAUCUGGAAAGAUGAAUCAAAGAAGGUAAUAAUCCUGUAGUCGAAAACAUAUUCUCUCUUGAGUGGAUCCUGAGUACGACGGAGCACGUGAAAUUCCGUCGGAAUCUAGGAGGACCAUCUCCUAAGGCUAAAUACUCUCUAGUGACCGAUAGUGAACCAGUACCGUGAGGGAAAGGUGAAAAGUACCCCGGAAGGGGAGUGAAAGAGAACUUGAAACCGUGUGCUUACAAGUAGUCAGAGCCCGUUUAUGGGUGAUGGCGUGCCUUUUGUAGAAUGAACCGGCGAGUUACGAUCUGAUGCAAGGUUAAGCAGCGAAUGUGGAGCCGUAGCGAAAGCGAGUCUGAAUAGGGCGUUGAGUAUUUGGUCGUAGACCCGAAACCAGGUGAUCUACCCUUGGUCAGGUUGAAGUUCAGGUAACACUGAAUGGAGGACCGAACCGACUUACGUUGAAAAGUGAGCGGAUGAACUGAGGGUAGCGGAGAAAUUCCAAUCGAACUUGGAGAUAGCUGGUUCUCUCCGAAAUAGCUUUAGGGCUAGCCUCAAGUGAUGAUUAUUGGAGGUAGAGCACUGUUUGGACGAGGGGCCCCUCUCGGGUUACCGAAUUCAGACAAACUCCGAAUGCCAAUCAAUUUAACUUGGGAGUCAGAACAUGGGUGAUAAGGUCCGUGUUCGAAAGGGAAACAGCCCAGACCACCAGCUAAGGUCCCAAAAUAUAUGUUAAGUGGAAAAGGAUGUGGCGUUGCCCAGACAACUAGGAUGUUGGCUUAGAAGCAGCCAUCAUUUAAAGAGUGCGUAAUAGCUCACUAGUCGAGUGACACUGCGCCGAAAAUGUACCGGGGCUAAACAUAUUACCGAAGCUGUGGAUUGUCCUUCGGACAAUGGUAGGAGAGCGUUCUAAGGGCGUUGAAGCAUGAUCGCAAGGACAUGUGGAGCGCUUAGAAGUGAGAAUGCCGGUGUGAGUAGCGAAAGACGGGUGAGAAUCCCGUCCACCGAUUGACUAAGGUUUCCAGAGGAAGGCUCGUCCGCUCUGGGUUAGUCGGGUCCUAAGCUGAGGCCGACAGGCGUAGGCGAUGGAUAACAGGUUGAUAUUCCUGUACCACCUAGUAUCGUUUUAAUCGAUGGGGGGACGCAGUAGGAUAGGCGAAGCGUGCUGUUGGAGUGCACGUCCAAGCAGUAAGGCUGAGUGUUAGGCAAAUCCGGCACUCGUUAGGCUGAGCUGUGAUGGGGAGAGGAAAUUGUUUCCUUGAGUCGUUGAUUUCACACUGCCGAGAAAAGCCUCUAGAUAGAUAACAGGUGCCCGUACCGCAAACCGACACAGGUAGUCAAGAUGAGAAUUCUAAGGUGAGCGAGCGAACUCUCGUUAAGGAACUCGGCAAAAUGACCCCGUAACUUCGGGAGAAGGGGUGCUCUUUAGGGUUCACGCCCAGAAGAGCCGCAGUGAAUAGGCCCAAGCGACUGUUUAUCAAAAACACAGGUCUCUGCUAAACCGUAAGGUGAUGUAUAGGGGCUGACGCCUGCCCGGUGCUGGAAGGUUAAGAGGAGUGGUUAGCUUCUGCGAAGCCACGAAUCGAAGCCCCAGUAAACGGCGGCCGUAACUAUAACGGUCCUAAGGUAGCGAAAUUCCUUGUCGGGUAAGUUCCGACCCGCACGAAAGGCGUAACGAUUUGGGCACUGUCUCAACGAGAGACUCGGUGAAAUCAUAGUACCUGUGAAGAUGCAGGUUACCCGCGACAGGACGGAAAGACCCCGUGGAGCUUUACUGUAGCCUGAUAUUGAAAUUCGGCACAGCUUGUACAGGAUAGGUAGGAGCCAUUGAAACGUGAGCGCUAGCUUACGUGGAGGCGUUGGUGGGAUACUACCCUAGCUGUGUUGGCGUUCUAACCCGCACCACUUAUCGUGGUGGGAGACAGUGUCAGGCGGGCAGUUUGACUGGGGCGGUCGCCUCCUAAAAGGUAACGGAGGCGCUCAAAGGUUCCCUCAGAAUGGUUGGAAAUCAUUCACAGAGUGUAAAGGCAUAAGGGAGCUUGACUGCGAGACCUACAAGUCGAGCAGGGUCGAAAGACGGACUUAGUGAUCCGGUGGUUCCGCAUGGAAGGGCCAUCGCUCAACGGAUAAAAGCUACCCCGGGGAUAACAGGCUUAUCUCCCCCAAGAGUUCACAUCGACGGGGAGGUUUGGCACCUCGAUGUCGGCUCAUCGCAUCCUGGGGCUGUAGUCGGUCCCAAGGGUUGGGCUGUUCGCCCAUUAAAGCGGUACGCGAGCUGGGUUCAGAACGUCGUGAGACAGUUCGGUCCCUAUCCGUCGUGGGCGUAGGAAAUUUGAGAGGAGCUGUCCUUAGUACGAGAGGACCGGGAUGGACAUACCUCUGGUGUACCAGUUGUCGUGCCAACGGCAUAGCUGGGUAGCUAUGUAUGGACGGGAUAAGUGCUGAAAGCAUCUAAGCAUGAAGCCCCCCUCAAGAUGAGAUUUCCCAACUUCGGUUAUAAGAUCCCUCGAAGAUGACGAGGUUAAUAGGUUCGAGGUGGAAGCGUGGUGACACGUGGAGCUGACGAAUACUAAUCGAUCGAAGACUUAAUCAAU
rnacentral:rRNA from 1 species